CCUACGGGGGGCAGCAGUGAGGAAUAUUGGUCAAUGGGCGAGAGCCUGAACCAGCCAAGUCGCGUGAGGGAGUACUGCCCUAUGGGUUGUAAACCUCUUUUGUCGGGGAGCAAAAGCCGGACGUGUCCGGCUGUGAGAGUACCCGAAGAAAAAGCAUCGGCUAACUCCGUGCCAGCAGCCGCGGUAAUACGGAGGAUGCGAGCGUUAUCCGGAUUUAUUGGGGUUAAAGGGUGCGCAGGCGGAUUUUUAAGUCAGCGGUCAAAUCGUGGGGCUCAACCCCAUCCAGCCGUUGAAACUGGGGAUCUAGAGUGUGCGAGAGGUAUGCGGAAUGCGUGGUGUAGCGGUGAAAUGCAUAGAGAUCACGCAGAACCCCGAUUGCGAAGGCAGCAUACCGGUGCACAACUGACGCUCAGGCACGAAAGCGUGGGUAUCGAACAGGAUUAGAUACCCUUGUAGUC
rnacentral:rRNA from 1 species